GGCAGCGCGACGCCGGGUGGCCCAGCAGCGGGCGGGUGCCGGGGGCGGAAGCGCGGCCACAAGAGGGGGCGAUUCACCGCCGCCCCCCGUGGGACCUGGGUCCUCUACGCGGGACCGCAGGGGCCCCGAGUCGCGGGUUGGGCAAGGUCGCCCGCUCCGGGUCGCUCGGAAGGGUCAUUUCACGGACCGGUCGUCUGGGGCCAGUGCGUCUUGCCCCGCACGGAAGACCCCUCGCUUCGAGGACAGGAAAGCUUUUAAAGUGAGGAUUGGCUCGCCGCGCCUCCCGCAGAGGGGAACGCCGCCCGGACCCGCGCUCCUGGGGCGGGGGCCUCGUAUGCUGGCGUUGCCGGAGCGUCUGCGGCGCUGAAGGCUGCCGAGACCCAGCCACAUCCCCCACAAGCCAGCAGCCCGGCAGAAAAUUACAUAAAAUGCAGCGCUUCGCCGAGGGGGUGCGAGUCGGGGGAGCAGCGCGCAGCUGCGGCUGACGGCUCGGCUGGAUCCAUCCAAGCAUGGACAGGAAAACGGGACUGUGGGGAGAGGGUGGUGCAGACGGGCCGCAGACCCUCCUUAGGAAGAGAAGCCGGAAACUAGGGAGUCAUGUGCAGUUAGAAUCCUCUUGGAAGACUAGUAGGAUGUGAGGUUGGAGAGGUGGACGACGACCAGAAAAUUCCCUUGUCUUGCCAGGCUUCUGACCUAACUAUGAGUUUCCUCCGCGCAUCCAGCCUGCCCUGCUCUGGCCCCUAAAGUACAGCAGUAACACUCAGUGGUGUCCCUGCCUUCCUGGAAUGCGCGUUAACAAUUCUGAUUCUUACUCAUGGCAAUAACCUACACACCACAUAGACGUUAAAUGUGGUUCGGGUCAGACUCUAGGGCAGGACUCACUGCCUGCACCUUGUCUUGGCUCCACCAGCUUGACCUUGAGCAAGUCACAACCUGUGGGUCUCAGUGUUCCUUACUAGUAAACCGUAGGUAAUUCCUCACUAGUAAACAGAUAAUAUUUGUGCCUGUC
rnacentral:lncRNA from 10 species